GAUGAACGCUGGCGGCGUGCCUAACACAUGCAAGUCGAACGACUCUCUUCGGAGAAGAGCGGCGGACGGGUGAGUAACGCGUGGGUAACCUGCCCUGUACACACGGAUAACAUACCGAAAGGUAUGCUAAUACGAGAUAAUAUGCUUUUAUCGCAUGGUAGAAGUAUCAAAGCUCCGGCGGUACAGGAUGGACCCGCGUCUGAUUAGCUAGUUGGUAAGGUAACGGCUUACCAAGGCGACGAUCAGUAGCCGACCUGAGAGGGUGAUCGGCCACAUUGGAACUGAGACACGGUCCAAACUCCUACGGGAGGCAGCAGUGGGGAAUAUUGCACAAUGGGCGAAAGCCUGAUGCAGCAACGCCGCGUGAGCGAUGAAGGCCUUCGGGUCGUAAAGCUCUGUCCUCAAGGAAGAUAAUGACGGUACUUGAGGAGGAAGCCCCGGCUAACUACGUGCCAGCAGCCGCGGUAA
rnacentral:rRNA from 1 species